rnacentral:lncRNA from 1 species
GCUCCUUAGAGCAGCUGUAAGGCGGCAGUAAUAACAAUCAAUUAAUAAACUGUCCAAUAUUUAUGAAUAACCUCCUUUGUGUGGAUGGCUGUGCUAGAGGCUUGAUAAAUAUUUGUUAGUACAUAUUUUUGCAUUUCAAAUAAGAAAGGUUACCACCCCAGAGAGCUGGAACUAAAAAAGACCCGGGAAUUCAUCCAGUACAGCACCCUUAAUCAUAAGGGAAUUUGAGGAUCUUCCCCCAACACAGUACAGCCCAAGAGAGGCUGUGAUCCAGAGACCCCUGGCACAGCAAUUGCUCCUGCCCCCGAGCCUGUGCAGGCUGCCACCUGUGCUCCAAAAGCAGCCUUCAUUGUGGGAGAACUUUCAACCUGGUCUUUCAGGGUUUGUGGAGCGCACUGCCCUGGCUCAUCUCUCUCUUCCAGGACUCCAACAUACUGGCAGCCUUGGAGGGAUCCGUCCUAUUGACACAGAACUCCUCUGUUUUGAUUCUCUCACACCGUGCUGGCGCUGGAUGAAAAGUCCUUUGAAAAGGCUCUCUCCCUUCUGAACACUUCAUCAUCUUCUCAUUUGGAAUCCGGAGAGACUGGCUUUUCCCUCCUUUCUCUCCUUUGUUCUUUCUUUAAUGUGCUGCAGAAAUGCCUUGGGGGAGAGUCUGUGCUCGGGGCCAGCCCUGGAGCAAGGGUUCUCUGCAGAGUGUGCCGGGGGUGCAGGGGUGGCUCUGAGCCUGGCCUCCACAGGAUGGACAUGUUUUCCGCGGGCAGCUGAUUUAAUGGGGGCAGUAGAGGCAGAAAAUUCCAGCAGCCUUUGCAGCAGGAGUGGAGAAGCAUUACAAGAUGCUUGACAGAGGCGGUUGGGGUGCAUUUAUGUCACUGUUUACAUGUCUUCUGGCCUUGGGGUCCGAGGGCUGGCCUCUGAGCCUCCCUGGAGUUGUGUGGCUGGAAGGAGCUCCAGGGCCAGGGAGGUAAAUCUUCCUGCCUCCUGGUACUUUGCAGCAAUUCCAGCCACUGUGCCUCCAGGAUUGGGGCACUCUAUCUUCAAGGCGAGCCCUGGCAGGGUGGAAGGUCUGUGCCAAGUGCACAAGAAGGAACUGCUCAGAGCUGUUUGCAAUGUAUAGAAAUUGGAGAGCCUUGCUUUUCAGCAUUAUUCUUUUAUUCAUAGGCCUGCGUGUGAGAGGCUUGUAAAUGACAUUACCAAUUUUGCAUUAAGCAGGUCUGGCAAGACUGGCUGAGUUUCUACAUUUGGGGCUUCAUGCGGGUGCCUGGACUGGCUGAUGGGCCAAUUGCUUCAUUAGGCAUCUUAAGGAUAUGGCCGUGUCUUGGCUUUUUAAUCUAAAAGUCAUUAAGGGGCUCUGUGUUGGGCAGAGGUUGAUGGGCACUCCCCUCUGUUUCUGUGUCCUUGGCACUAACUGGGAGGGCAGGCCUGGUCCCUGAGCCCCACGCUCACUUCCUCCUGUGCCUUCAGGGCAGGUGCUCACCCAUCUGGGAAAAGGCCUGGGGCAGGCCGACAGUAGGGUUUGUCUCCUCUUCCUUUGGGUCCAGUCUGUUUUCAGCGGGCUGGAGCUGGCUUCUCUGCUCAAACAGAGCAGCACUGGCUGUGGGGAGCGAGGCCCAUUCUGGCCUGAACUGGAAUGUGGGGAAGGUCCACCAGCCCUUGCUUUCUCCCAGCUGCCAGUUCCUCUCCUGCCCCUGAGUGACAACACAAUGGGAGCUUUAAAGACCUGGGUCCUUCAGAUGGGAAGCCAGGAGUGUGCAUCACAAACACAGCCAAUCCCAGGCUGCUCUGUCUGGGGACCGUCAGAGGACACUGCCCUCUUGCCUGGUACAGAAGGAGACAGUGAUUGUUUAGCUGUGGGUAAGGCACAAACUCUGGCAUGUGAUGGAGUCUCUCUCUGUUGCCCAGGCUGGAGUGCAGUGGUGUGAUCUUGGUUCACUGCAACCUCUGACCCAGGUUCAAGCAAUUCUGCUGCCUCAGCUUCCUGAGUAGCUGGGACUACAGAAGGAGUCUCUGAAGUUAGCACCCUUCUAAGAAUCCAAACUCUACAAGCAGAGGUUACCAAGCACAGAGGCGUGGCACCCAAGAUCACACAGGUAACACACACGUGGAGCUCGGGGUUAAAGCCAGGCAGACUGAGACCCGAGGUCACCUCAUGUCACCAUAGGAGGCUCUGCCGAUUGCCCUGGGGGACACACACACCUGCGGCUGCUUCCAACAGCUGUGCCCAACCUCAGAGGAUGAAGACGAUUCACAUUUGAGGCUCUUCAGAAUAAUGUGCCUGGCUCUAAGGCAGCUUUCAAAGAGGACAUUCAGCCUGCUAUGGCUGUGAAGAUAUUCAACCCGAUGUCAUCCACUGUGAGGCAGAGGUUCUGGCAUUUUGAGGACAAAGCAGCCGGGAUUCUGUCACCUCGCUCUGCAUACACCAGCAUUUAAUGCAAGGUGUGAGUGAGGGCAUGUGUGGGUAUACUCAUGCCUGUGUGUUUGGGGGUGCAGGGGCUAGCGAGGUCCUGACAAAAGAGCUUUCUUCUGCAGAUCAUAGAGUGAAACGAUUCCUGCGCCCAAAAGGGAUUUUAAAAACAGCUCGAGAAGCUGAAAGCAAGAUACAACAGACAGUUCCACUCAAUUUGCUGCCUUCAGCCCGGCUGCGUACUGGAAACAUUUGGUCCUGCUGAAGCAUGCUUGUCUGCCUCCGGGGUCAGGGCUGGGUGUUUCAGAAAUGGAAAUGCAAGCUUCUGGCAGCA